rnacentral:tRNA from 1 species
GCGCCCGUAGCCCAAUUGGAUAGAGCGCCAGACUACGGAUCUGGAGGUUAGGGGUUCAAAUCCUCUCGGGCGCACCA